ACCGGCCACACUGGGACUGANACACGGCCCAGACUCCUACGGGAGGCAGCAGUGGGGAAUAUUGCACAAUGGGCGAAAGCCUGAUGCANCNACNCCNCGUGAGGGAUGACNGCCUUCGGGUUGUAAACCUCUUUCACAGGGAAGAANCNAAAGUGACGGUACCUGCANAANAAGCGCCGGCUAACUACNUGCCAGCAGCCGCGGUAAUACNUAGGGCGCAAGCGUUGUCCGGAAUUAUUGGGCGUAAAGAGCUCGUACGCGGCUUGUCACGUCGGUUGUGAAAGCCCGGGGCUUAACCCCGGGUCUGCAGUCNAUACGGNCAGGCUAGAGUUCUGUANGGGAGAUCNGAAUUCNUGGUGUAGCGGUGAAAUGCACAGAUAUCAAGAGGAACACCGGUGGCGAAGGCGGAUCUCUGGGCCGAUACUGACGCUGAGGAGNGAAAGCGUGNGGAGCGANCANGAUUAGAUANCCUGGUNGUCCACGCCGUAGACGGUGGGCACU
rnacentral:rRNA from 1 species